UGCAGUUGCCUUUCAGGCAUCCUCUCCCAAAACUUUCAGGGGCCAGCGCAAGCUGGCCCAUUUUUCUGGUUGGA
rnacentral:sRNA from 2 species